rnacentral:rRNA from 1 species
GAACGAACGCUGGCGGCAUGCCUACCCCCUGCAAGUCGAACGAGACCUUCGGGUCUAGUGGCGCACGGGUGCGUAACGCGUGGGAACCUGCCCUUAGGUUCGGAAUAACUCCCCGAAAGGGGUGCUAAUACCGGAUAAUGUCUUCGGACCAAAGAUUUAUCGCCUUUGGAUGGGCCCGCGUUGGAUUAGCUAGUUGGUAGGGUAAAAGCCUACCAAGGCGACGAUCCAUAGCUGGUCUGAGAGGAUGAUCAGCCACACUGGGACUGAGACACGGCCCAGACUCAUACGGGAGGCAGCAGUGGGGAAUAUUGGACAAUGGGCGAAAGCAUGAUCCAGCAAUGCCGCGUGAGUGAUGAAGGCCUUAGGGUUGUAAAGCUCUUUUACCCGGGAUGAUAAUGACAGUACCGGGAGAAUAAGCUCCGGCUAACUCCGUG